rnacentral:rRNA from 1 species
UACAGAGGGGGCAAGCGUUAUUCGGAAUUAUUGGGCGUAAAGGGCGCGUAGGCGGCCACCGCAAGUCGACUGUGAAAUCUCCGGGCUUAACCCGGAAAGGUCAGCCGAUACUGCGGGGCUAGAGUGCGGAAGGGGCAACUGGAAUUCUCGGUGUAGCGGUGAAAUGCGUAGAUAUCGAGAGGAACACCUGCGGCGAAGGCGGGUUGCUGGGCCGACACUGACGCUGAGGCGCGAAAGCCAGGGAGCGAACGGG